AUUGAACGCUGGCGGCAUGCCUUACACAUGCAAGUCGAACGGCAGCGGGGACUUCGGUCCGCCGGCGAGUGGCGAACGGGUGAGUAAUGUAUCGGAACGUACCUUUCAGUGGGGGAUAACGUAGCGAAAGUUACGCUAAUACCGCAUAUUCUCUGAGGAGGAAAGCAGGGGACCUUCGGGCCUUGUGCUGAUGGAGCGGCCGAUAUCAGAUUAGCUAGUUGGGGAGGUAAAGGCUCACCAAGGCGACGAUCUGUAGCGGGUCUGAGAGGAUGCUCCGCCACACUGGGACUGAGACACGGCCCAGACUCCGACGGGAGGCAGCAGUGGGGAAUUUUGGACAAUGGGCGCAAGCCUGAUCCAGCCAUGCCGCGUGAGGGAGGAAGGCCUUCGGGUUGUAAAGCUCUUUCGGACGGGAAGAAAUUGGUGGGGCUAAUAUCCCCAUCGGAUGACGGUACCGUAAUAAGAAGCACCGGCUAACUACGUGCCAGCCGCCGCCGUAACAC
rnacentral:rRNA from 1 species